GGGGGGGGGGGGGGGGGGGGCGGAUGGGGGGGGGGGGGGGGGGGAAGGGUGGUGCUUGCACCAAUUUGAAGAGCAGCGGACGGGGGAGUAACGCGUGGGGCAUCUGCCUUUUAGCGGGGGACAACAUUUGGAAACGAAUGCUAAUACCGCAUAACACCUUUAAACAUAAGUUUUAAGUUUGAAAGAUGCACUUGCAUCACUCAAAGAUGAUCCCGCGUGGUAUUAGCUAGUUGGUGAGGGACAGGCUCCCCACGGCGAUGAUACAUAGCCGCCCUGAGAGGGUGAGCGGCCACAUUGGGACUGAGACACGGCCCAAACUCCUACGGGAGGCAGCAGUAGGGAAUCUUCGGCAAUGGACGGAAGUCUGACCGAGCAACGCCGCGUGAGUGAAGAAGGUUUUCGGAUCGUAAAACUCUGUUGGUAGAGAAGAACGUUGGUGAGAGUGGAAAGCUCAUCAAGUGACGGUAACUACCCAGAAAGGGACGGCUAACUACGUG
rnacentral:rRNA from 1 species